GUUUUAGUAAUUUAAAGAAAAUAGUGGUCUUGUAAACCAAAUUUAAGUAAACACUUCUAAAACU
rnacentral:tRNA from 1 species